rnacentral:piRNA from 1 species
UUCCUCAGCCUCAUGUAAGUAGCCAACGA